rnacentral:pre_miRNA from 1 species
AACCAGCGCAGACUGGCAUGGCCCAGGCAUCUCUGGGAGAGUAUCUCUUCGAGUGCCUCACCCUGAAGCAGGACUAGGCCU